rnacentral:lncRNA from 1 species
AUGCCAUCCAGAUUGAGGAAGACUUGGAAAUCCAGAACCACGUGAUCUAUGGCCUCAGCUGCGUGGGUAAGCACCGAGGAGGCAGAGGAAGGCUGGAUGUACGCAUCACCGUAGGAUCAACUUUGACAAAUGUCAUCCAGGUUACCUCGGGAAAGUUGGUAUGAGGCAUUAGUACUUGAAAAGGAGCAAGAGCUUCAAACCAACUGUCAACCUGGAUAAAUUAUGGACAUUAGUCAGCGAGCAGAUAUGGGUCAACUCUGCAAAAAUCAAGACUGGAGCUGCUCCCAUCAUUGAUGUUGUUCGAUCAGGCUACUACAAAGUUAUGGGGAAGAGAAAACUCCCUAAGCUAUCUGUCAUCACGAACGCCAAAUUCUUCAGCAGAAGACCUGAAGAGAAGAGAUGCCUGUGUUCUGGUGGCUUAA